GACGAACGCUGGCGGCGUGCUUAACACAUGCAAGUCGAACGGAAAGGCCCUGCUUUUGUGGGGUGCUCGAGUGGCGAACAGGUGAGUAACACGUGAGUAACCUGCCCUUGACUUUGGGAUAACUUCAGGAAACUGGGGCUAAUACCGGAUAGGAGCUCCUGCUGCAUGGUGGGGGUUGGAAAGUUUCGGCGGUUGGGGAUGGACUCGCGGCUUAUCAGCUUGUUGGUGGGGUAGUGGCUUACCAAGGCUUUGACGGGUAGCCGGCCUGAGAGGGUGACCGGCCACAUGGGGACUGAGAUACGGCCCAGACUCCUACGGGGGGCAGCGGUGGGGAAUAUGGCACAAUGGGCGAAAGCCUGAGGCAGCAACGCCGCGUGCGGGAGGACGGCCUUCGGGUGGUAAACCGCUUUCGCCUGUGACGAAGCGUGAGUGACGGUAAUGGGUAAAGAAGCACCGGCUAACUACGU
rnacentral:rRNA from 1 species